UACGUAGGUGGCAAGCGUUGCCCGGAUUUAUUGGGUUUAAAGGGUGCGUAGGCGGCCCUGUAAGUCAGUGCUGAAAUAUCCCGGCUUAACCGGGAGGGUGGCAUUGAUACUGCGGGGCUAGAGUACAGAUGAGGUAGGCGGAAUUGACGGUGUAGCGGUGAAAUGCUUAGAUAUCGUCAAGAACACCUAUAGCGAAGGCAGCUUACUAGGCUGUAACUGACGCUGAGGCACGAAAGUGUGGGGAUCAAACAGG
rnacentral:rRNA from 1 species